AGCCUCUGGAGAGACUACCGAUUGCAUUAGGUUGCAAUAUUGGUGGCGCCGAAGGCGAAAGUAGGUGCGUCGAUGGACGCAUUCUGCGAAACGCUCAGGCAAAAGGACAGAGGAGAGGAU
rnacentral:ncRNA from 1 species